AGUGAAGAAAACAAUUUCCUUCAUCGGUUUAUUGGGGUUUUUUGAAAUCAAGAACAGUUGCAGCACGGCAAAUACAGUUUUAAAUACCAAUGUUACUGCAUGAAAAAGAUGAUUCACAUGUAAUUGGUCCAUAUUGAGAUCCAUUGACUUGUGACUUGGUAUGCCGCUUCCCCUGUAUGCUGCAACUAGAGUCACUCACACUCUUCUUCAAAACCAGCCUGUUGUGAAGCAGCAAAGCUGUGCUUGUGUGCUCUAGGACUAUGAAGAAAGAAGAUUUUACCCAGAAGCAAGUAUGUGACAGUGGCCCAGAUCAUCACAAGCCAGCAGCUUAUGUGACACACGUGCAUUCCAUGUUGGACAGUUCUCAAAAUCAUAAUAGCAGUUUACAAAAAUUAUAUAACACCAGGAAUUGUUCUCUCCAUAAUACUAUACCUCUGUCUUCUGUUGGCAAGGAAAUGCCUCUGAGUUUCAGUGAAUCAGCAGGGAUGAAUUCAAGUGCAGCUGCUCCUUGGAAGGAUUCAUUUCAUCUGCAUUUUUCUUCUGGGAAAGACAGUCUCGAGAGGGCUUCUCACUGCAUUGGUGGCCUUUCAGUAACAGGCUGGCUGGAAGAAGCUUGUAGCAUUUCUGGAGACUUCAGCUCAUGCUGCCCAGGAGAUAACUUCGUAUGUUUUGCACAAUUCUGGCUGGGAAAUUUGCAGUGUAAUAAAAACCUGUGGUUUCUGGAAUUAGAAAUGAGCAGUAGCAAAGAGAAUGAA